AGAUUUAAAGUUCCAAAAUAAACAUCAGGUGGACCAUCACCUUCUUUUCUUCUCCGUGUUUGAGAAAUACAUCCCUCUCUUCUAUCUGUUCAUCUUCAGGAUUGAGAAGAAGAAGAAAAAAAAUUGAUUUCCCACCAUCGAUACAUUAAGAACAAAGUCAUCUUUUCCUCCCGAACAAAGUCAUCUUCAUCAAAUAAGAAGUACAGGAGAAAUAACAAACAAUUAAAUAAAUAUAUAAUUUUUGGAAAAGAAAUUAAAAUAAAAAAAAAAAAAAACUAUGCUUGCACUGGAUCUAGCGCCUCACUGUCGAUUUAUCUCCGAUUAUGAUUUAUCUAUAUAUCAGACACUAUUUCCUUCCCUAUCUAUGUGAUGUAGUUUCUUCAUUUUUCCCAUUUUCUAUUUCUUUCUCUCUCUCUAAUUGAAAGCGUGAAUAUAGAAAGUUGAAUUGCAUAUAUCCCUUUUCUUCAAUUGGAUGUUUGUAGAGAAGCUUCUUGGCACCAUUGUUAUAAUUUCUUCGGUUGCA
rnacentral:lncRNA from 1 species